rnacentral:lncRNA from 1 species
GCUUUGCAUAGGCUCUGCUCUGAAGACUGAGGUGGGUCUGCCACUCUGUAGGCUGAAACACGAGCUCUGGAGACUGUCAUUUGCACUUGUGUCUAGAAGUGCCUGUCUUCUGACUAUCGUAUUCUUCCAUGGAGCACCGGGGUGGCAGAUCUCCAGGAGAACCCAUUCUGCCUUUCAUUGAGGUUGCCUUCCAUCCUGGAGUCAAGUUCUGCCCAACAUCACAGGAUUUAGUUGCCUCCUUCACUCCUUUUUGGCUACUAGGCUACUAUUCUAUAUACUAAGUAUCGCACUCUGAGUCUUCCUGGCCAAUAUAACUGGAUUGAGAAGCACCUAAAAGAUAGAUCUUUGGAAUCUCUGGACUCAUUAAACAGUACCAGUGCCUGGGCCAGCAAGAUGGAUGGCUUGGUGGGUAAAGGUGCCUGCUACAGAGCCUGAGGAUGCCAGCCCAACCCCUGGAACCCACACGGUGGAAGAAAACUAACUUUAACAAGCUGUCUUUUGAUGUCCACAUGUGAGUUGAGGUGUGAGCCCCCCUCCUUAGCUAAACAGACCUAUGUAAUAAAAAAGUAAUUCAAACCAA